GUUUUCAUAGUUUAAAUUAAAACAUUACACUGAAAAUGUAAAAAUAAAAUUGAAAAUA
rnacentral:tRNA from 1 species